UGUGUGGAAGGGAGGCCGGCUCUGAGCUGUGUCUCUGUAGCUGGGAAGAGACAGCAUUGGGGCGGGGCAGAGGUGACUCUCGGCAAGAAGGUGACGCUCCAGCAGGCUGUGACAAUGGGAAGGCGGAAGGUGGCCUUGGAGUGACACAGGGUGGCUCAGGCAUCAAAGGGGGGAGUGUGGCAGUCGUGACACUGAAUGUGGGGUUUGCCCGGCAGGUUGUGGGGAGCCCCAGGGAGCUUCUGAGCUGAGGUACGGUGUGAUCCGAGCGGUGCAUUAGCAGAUGACUGGGGGGCUGCAGGGCUGAGGGGAGCACAGAGAGAGGCUCCCCGGCUCUCCCGACCGCUUCCCGUGUCUGAGGACUCCACGGUCAGGAGCUCCUUCCUUCUGCACAUUGCCGCCAUGGACCUCUGACCUCUGCGGUGAAGUUCUUUUUUUUUUUUUUUUUUUUUUUUUCCGUUUUUCUCCGGUACCGGGAACCGAACUCACGACCUUGCGCUUGCCAGGCAGGCGCUUUGCCGCUGAGCUAAAUCCCCAGCCCCUGCGGUGAAGUUCUUACAUGCACCUUUUCAUCCAGUCCCCAGCAUCUGCGAGUUCGAUUGUGUGGACGGGGUGAUUCGCUCUCUUCAAGGACUCUGGCCUGGCCUGGUGGCACGCGCUCACUGUCCCGGCUUCCCCGGCGGAGCGUCAAGUCCCUUUCUCUGCCCGCUCUGUGUCCUCCCUUCUUUGCUGUACGCCGGCCUGCGCUGGUCCUGGCCCAGAGGAAGGAGCUGGCCCGCCGCGUGGACGCUGGAAUACAGGAACUCGGCUCUUCCGCAAGUAGCAUCUACGAUGCCAGUCUCAGCAACCUCAUUUAAAAAACUAUUUAUAUGCACAAAAAGUCUAUAAUAGCGUUUUUAUUGUGUGUGCCUGAGAUUUGGGUGCAUUUCCCCCCACGCCU
rnacentral:lncRNA from 1 species